GGCAGGGUUUAGAGGGUUUGUAUGUGAUCUAACUGUAUGUAACUAAAAUAAUAAUAAUGAAUACAUAGUAUUUUUUGUAUAUAAUGUACUUUUUUGAUGAUGGAUGUCUUGUACUCCUACACAGACACAAAAAAACAUGUCUGUGGUUUUUUUUCACUGCAAGCAUAUUUUGGAAAUACCUCUUGGCUUUCCUGUGCCCUUUAACUUGAAAAUGUCGUCCCCAUUUUAGUUACCGCACUUUACUCUGAAAAAUACACACAUUCGAUUUGUGUGUGUGUGUGUGUAUGUGUGUGUGUGUCUGUGUGUGUGUUUUGAGGGGGAUAUAUAAGACAGCAGCACAUGUGUCACUAGCCCACUUGCCAUUAUGUUUCUGAAAGGUACCCUGACCAUUGUCUUUGCUGGAUUUUGGCUACUGUGCAUGCUUUGUCUGAAGACAGAUGCUUAUGUCCCACUGAGCCAUGGCUGCUGCAUCAAGUACAUUCGCAGACCACUGGAUUUCAAACUGAUCAAAGGUUUUGCACAGUCGAGUUUUGGUAACGUGCGCUGCGUUGAUGUGAUCAUAUUCAUUACAAAGCGCAACAAGAAGGUGUGUGCAAACACUAAGGAGGUGUGGGUGAAGAAUGUUCUAAAACGUCUAAGGGCACGCUUCCAGGCCAGACAAAGGCUAUAAAAGCUAGUUCAAGUGAGCAGAGAAGCAUCUAUAAAAGCACAGCAUGUCUAAUCUUGAUGUGGAUGAGCUACAAGACAGCAGGCAACACAGUGAAAUCUAUACUUCACAUAUCCCAUCUUUGGAAAUUGCGUCAGAGCACAGCAUCAGCCAUUAUACAGCACUCCUGGAGCAAUGAGAGUUAAGGGCCCUGCUCAGGGGCCCAACAGCUUAGGAGUGCUGUUGCUCUAACCCCAAUCUGCCAAUCAACAACCCAACAACCUUUAACCACCACUACCCCAAAGGAUUGUUUCAACAUGCAACAGGUUUGAUUUGUGCCCAGGAUCACAACAUAAAGGAAAAGAACCAACAUCAGAAUUGUAAUUUGAACCCAUGCCUCCAAAGGAGACUGCUACCUGAACACAGCACCUAAGACUGCUCGGCCAACCUGACACAUAAGUUUUUAAAAGGUCCAAAUAGUAAAGUGAGUAGUUUGCUCACAAAAAUAUUUGACAGAUCUAUUUAUUUUAUUUGUAUUCACAGCCACCCCUUCUACCAGACUCUUAACCUCAGUCACUGGCAGAAUGAAUGAGAACAUAUGAACUACCACUGCCAGACUCUGUAACAGCUUUUUCCCUAAGAUUGUUAUGCUUAGUAACUGAACUAAAAUAAAUGAAACAAUAUCUAAUCAGCUUGGCAGGUCCUCUGUUAAAGUGUAGGAUUCUAUAUAGUAGCACAGAACAAGCUAUGAAAACCCAAGUAUAUCAAAAUCCUACUGUUUUCUGUCUUACUAUUGAUAAAUAAAUCAAAUGUUGUAGUCAUUCUAGAUCCCAUUCAGAUAUUAGAUGUUGCUAAUCUUUGUAAGUCAAUUAACUGGUCAAUAAACAAGCAUGAGAUGGAAUUUCCACCUGUUUUGUUGUGUCCAUUUUCAGUAUUUUAAUUUCUUUGACAGGUUACACUCCACAGUGGGGGUUAAUGGC